rnacentral:rRNA from 1 species
UGGGUUUGAUCCUGGCUCAGAUUGAACGCUGGCGGCAGGCUUAACACAUGCAAGUCGAGCGGAGAGAGGUAGCUUGCUACUGAUCUUAGCGGCGGACGGGUGAGUAAUGCUUAGGAAUCUGCCUAUUAGUGGGGGACAACAUUUCGAAAGGAAUGCUAAUACCGCAUACGUCCUACGGGAGAAAGCAGGGGAUCUUCGGACCUUGCGCUAAUAGAUGAGCCUAAGUCGGAUUAGCUAGUUGGUGGGGUAAAGGCCUACCAAGGCGACGAUCUGUAGCGGGUCUGAGAGGAUGAUCCGCCACACUGGGACUGAGACACGGCCCAGACUCCUACGGGAGGCAGCAGUGGGGAAUAUUGGACAAUGGGCGCAAGCCUGAUCCAGCCAUGCCGCGUGUGUGAAGAAGGCCUUAUGGUUGUAAAGCACUUUAAGCGAGGAGGAGGCUACUUUAGUUAAUACCUAGAGAUAGUGGACGUUACUCGCAGAAUAAGCACCGGCUAACUCUGUGCCAGCAGCCGCGGUAAUACAGAGGGUGCAAGCGUUAAUCGGAUUUACUGGGCGUAAAGCGCGCGUAGGCGGCUAAUUAAGUCAAAUGUGAAAUCCCCGAGCUUAACUUGGGAAUUGCAUUCGAUACUGGUUAGCUAGAGUGUGGGAGAGGAUGGUAGAAUUCCAGGUGUAGCGGUGAAAUGCGUAGAGAUCUGGAGGAAUACCGAUGGCGAAGGCAGCCAUCUGGCCUAACACUGACGCUGAGGUGCGAAAGCAUGGGGAGCAAACAGGAUUAGAUACCCUGGUAGUCCAUGCCGUAAACGAUGUCUACUAGCUGUUGGGGCCUUUGAGGCUUUAGUGGCGCAGCUAACGCGAUAAGUAGACCGCCUGGGGAGUACGGUCGCAAGACUAAAACUCAAAUGAAUUGACGGGGGCCCGCACAAGCGGUGGAGCAUGUGGUUUAAUUCGAUGCAACGCGAAGAACCUUACCUGGCCUUGACAUAGUAAGAACUUUCCAGAGAUGGAUUGGUGCCUUCGGGAACUUACAUACAGGUGCUGCAUGGCUGUCGUCAGCUCGUGUCGUGAGAUGUUGGGUUAAGUCCCGCAACGAGCGCAACCCUUUUCCUUAUUUGCCAGCGAGUAAUGUCGGGAACUUUAAGGAUACUGCCAGUGACAAACUGGAGGAAGGCGGGGACGACGUCAAGUCAUCAUGGCCCUUACGGCCAGGGCUACACACGUGCUACAAUGGUCGGUACAAAGGGUUGCUACCUAGCGAUAGGAUGCUAAUCUCAAAAAGCCUAUCGUAGUCCGGAUUGGAGUCUGCAACUCGACUCCAUGAAGUCGGAAUCGCUAGUAAUCGCGGAUCAGAAUGCCGCGGUGAAUACGUUCCCGGGCCUUGUACACACCGCCCGUCACACCAUGGGAGUUUGUUGCACCAGAAGUAGCUAGCCUAACUGCAAAGAGGGCGGUUACCACGGUGUGGCCGAUGACUGGGGUGAAGUCGUAACAAGGUAGCCAA